AGAGUUUGAUCCUGGCUCAGAUUGAACGCUGGCGGAAUGCUUUACACAUGCAAGUCGAACGGCAGCACGGGGGCAACCCUGGUGGCGAGUGGCGAACGGGUGAGUAAUGUAUCGGAACGUACCCAGUCGUGGGGGAUAACUAUCCGAAAGGAUAGCUAAUACCGCAUACGUCCUGAGGGAGAAAGCGGGGGAUCGCAAGACCUCGCGCGAUUGGAGCGGCCGAUAUCGGAUUAGCUAGUUGGUGAGGUAAAGGCUCACCAAGGCGACGAUCCGUAGCGGGUCUGAGAGGACGACCCGCCACACUGGAACUGAGACACGGUCCAGACUCCUACGGGAGGCAGCAGUGGGGAAUUUUGGACAAUGGGGGAAACCCUGAUC
rnacentral:rRNA from 1 species